GUCUGACUCCAAACUGCCAGAUUUUCAAGGAGGGGCGGAACACGCCGCUAACGUUUCUAGUGCUGCACUUGCUGGAGCAAAUAUAAUCUAUGAGUCU
rnacentral:ncRNA from 1 species